rnacentral:lncRNA from 1 species
AACUGAAUAUUCACUAGAUUAUGGAACAGCAUAGGGCACAGCAGACAUCGAGUCAAAAGUGUGAAAUGCAUUUCUCGAGUUUUGUAC